rnacentral:rRNA from 1 species
GACGAACGCUGGCGGCGUGCUUAACACGUGCAAGUCGAACGCUGAAGCUUGGUGCUUGCACUGGGUGGAUGAGUGGCGAACGGGUGAGUAAUACGUGAGUAACCUGCCCUUGACUCUGGGAUAAGCCUGGGAAACUGGGUCUAAUACUGGAUAUGACAUGCCACUGCAUGGUGGUGUGUGGAAAGGGUUUUACUGGUUUUGGAUGGGCUCACGGCCUAUCAGCUUGUUGGUGGGGUAAUGGCCUACCAAGGCGACGACGGGUAGCCGGCCUGAGAGGGUGACCGGCCACACUGGGACUGAGACACGGCCCAGACUCCUACGGGAGGCAGCAGUGGGGAAUAUUGCACAAUGGGCGGAAGCCUGAUGCAGCGACGCCGCGUGAGGGAUGACGGCCUUCGGGUUGUAAACCUCUUUCAGCACGGAAGAAGCGAGAGUGACGGUACGUGCAGAAGAAGCGCCGGCUAACUACGUG